CAGCCGCCUCGGUAAGACGGAGGGUGCUAGCGUUGUUCGGAAUCACUGGGCGUAAAGGGCGCGUAGGCGGCCUGUUAAGUCGGAUGUGAAAGCCCGGGGCUCAACCCCGGAACUGCAUCCGAGACUGGCAGGCUUGAGACCGGGAGAGGAGGGUGGAAUAUCCAGUGUAGAGGUGAAAUUCGUAGAUAUUGGAUGGAACACCGGUGGCGAAAGCGGCUCUCUGGCCCGGAUCUGACGCUGAGGCGCGAAAGCGUGGGGAGCAAACAGGAUUAGAUACCCCAGUAGUCCCUGUCUCUUAUAC
rnacentral:rRNA from 1 species